UACGAAGGGGGCUAGCGUUGCUCGGAAUCACUGGGCGUAAAGCGCACGUAGGCGGCUCUUUAAGUCAGGGGUGAAAUCCUGGAGCUCAACUCCAGAACUGCCUUUGAUACUGGGGAUCUCGAGUCCGGAAGAGGUAAGUGGAACUCCGAGUGUAGAGGUGAAAUUCGUAGAUAUUCGGAAGAACACCAGUGGCGAAGGCGGCUUACUGGUCCGGUACUGACGCUGAGGUGCGAAAGCGUGGGGAGCAAACAGG
rnacentral:rRNA from 1 species